rnacentral:rRNA from 1 species
UAGGGAAUCUUCCGCAAUGGACGCAAGUCUGACGGAGCAACGCCGCGUGAGUGAAGAAGGAUUUCGGUUCGUAAAACUCUGUUGUUAGAGAAGAACAGCGCAUAGAGUAACUGUUAUGCGUGUGACGGUAUCUAACCAGAAAGCCACGGCUAACUACGUGCCAGCAGCCGCGGUAAUACGUAGGUGGCAAGCGUUGUCCGGAUUUAUUGGGCGUAAAGCGAGCGCAGGCGGUCAAUUAAGUCUGAUGUGAAAGCCCCCGGCUCAACCGGGGAGGGUCAUUGGAAUCUGGUUGACUUGAGUGCAGAAGAGGAUAGUGGACUUCCAUGUGUAUCGGUGAAAUGCGUAGAUAUAUGGAGGAACACCAGUGGCGAUGGCGACUCUCUGGUCUGUAACUGACGCUGAGGCUCGAAAGCGUGGGUAGCAAACAGG